UUGCGGGUGAGAAUCCCGUCCAGUAGAGCUUGACCAGCAACUGGAAGCGAGUUUUGCGUGGUGCCGGGUGACCGGUCCUGCGAAGCGUAAACAGCGAAUCCGAAAGCCA
rnacentral:sRNA from 1 species